rnacentral:rRNA from 1 species
AGCAGCCGCGGUAAUUCCAGCUCCAAUAGCGUAUAUUAAAGUUGUUGCAGUUAAAAAGCUCGUAGUUGAAUUUCGGGAUUGGCGCAUCGGUCGUGCCUUACGGGGUAUGAACUGGUGCAGUCAAUUUCUCACCUUCUGGAGAACCGCGAUGUCCUUAAUUGGGUGCCGCGGGGAACCAGGACCUUUACUUUGAAAAAAUUAGAGUGUUUAAAGCAGGCAUUUUUGCUUGAAUACAUUAGCAUGGAAUAAUAAAAUAGGACGGCAUGGUUCUAUUUUGUUGGUUUCUAGGACCACCGUAAUGAUUAAUAGGGAUAGUUGGGGGCAUUAGUAUUCAAUUGUCAGAGGUGAAAUUCUUGGAUUUAUUGAAGACUAACUACUGCGAAAGCAUUUGCCAAGGAUGUUUUCAUUAAUCAAGAACGAAAGUUAGGGGAUCGAAGACGAUCAGAUACCGUCGUAGUCUUAACCAUAAACUAUGCCGACUAGGGAUCGGAUGAUGUUAAUUUUUUUAAUGACUCAUUCG